rnacentral:misc_RNA from 1 species
GUGAAUCAUCAAAUUUUUGAACGCAAAUUGCACUCUCUUCUGAGAGUAUGCCUGUUUGAGGGUCAGCCUAAAAAAAAUCUACGUAGUCGCGGUUUCGCGGUGACAUUCGUCGGUAAGUGGGUCAUGUUAAACCUUUGGGUUUUUUAAGCGGCUUAACAUGUUCUUUACGAUUCCACGAACGUUUCUAAUGUUUUACUUCUUACACACGUUUAAGUUAUCGAUCGUUAUUAAACUUGGC